AUAAUAGGUAACUGUUUUCUUAAGUUGAGGGUUCUGACCCAUUGAUUUAUAGAUGUAAACGUGAUUUCAGCAUUUUUAAUAGACUUGCAGCCUCAUAAAAAUUGGAGAAGCAAAUUUGGUUUGUAAUCUGUGGUACGAGUUGAGUCUUCUGUAUCACCUAAUUUGCCCCUCCAUCGUUAAUGAACUUGUGUGAUGAACAACAGUGGCAAAAUUUAACCCUCCCAGAUGCAUAUAGUAAAUUCUUGGUCC
rnacentral:misc_RNA from 1 species